AUGUGCAACGGGGACGACGGCGGCUAUUUUCUUGCGGAACUCGUCUGGGUCAGGCCAGAACUCUCCCAAGCAGCGAUCUGGCUGUGGAAGUCGUCCGCCCCAGAAUCAGGAUGGGCCUUUCAGCCCACGCGCCUGCACCUUCCGUCGGCCUUCUGCUCUCACUUGUGUUUCUCUUAUCGGGGAUCAACCCUCUGCUGGGUGGACCUGCUCGGUGGCAUGGUGGUGUGUGAUCUGGGCAAAGAGUGCAGCAGCAACUUGGACGGCCCGGAUCUCCGUUUCGUCGCGUUGCCCGCAGAUUGUCCGUCCUAUGAUACCAGCAGCCCCUGUAAUCGGUACCACCUCUGCCCCGAGAAGUUCCGUUCCAUGGCAUGCGUUGGCGACACCAUCAAGCUCGUCUGCAUGGACGGCAAUGUUGAACAAGUGCCGGGCAAAGGCUUUGAUCUCACCGUCUAUGCUCUCUCGCCUGACCUGUCAGACUGGAAAAUAAGCAGCAAGUACAAUGUUGAAAACAUAUGGGCAAACGAGUCCUACCAUUCUACUGGCAUGCCAAAGAUUGCUCCAUCGUUCCCUGUCCUGAGCACCCAUGAAGACGGCGUCAUCUACCUAGUCUUCACCGAACUGAUCAGGGUGGCAAAUGAUACGCUACAGCGCCCGGGCAGGUCCAAACUAUGCCAGUAUUUGGUUCGUGUCGACAUGGAGAGCAACAAGGUCCAGUUCUAUCCACAGAUUAAAAAGUGUACUAUUGAUCCCCAUAUCUUGGGCAGUGAGUUCAGUGCGUACCAAAAGCUAGUGUUUACAUGA
rnacentral:rRNA from 1 species